rnacentral:rRNA from 1 species
GGGUGCGAUCAUUCCAGCGUUUAUGCACCGGAUCCCAUCAGAACUCCACAGUUAGGCUUGCUUGGGAUAGAGUAGUACUGGGAUGGGUGACCUCCCGGGAAGUCCUAGUGUUGCACCCU